GCGCAGCGUGCCUAACCGGCGUAACCGUAACCUCAGCCCUCCUCCGGGUCUGUGCGACCCAGAGAAAAGUUCAGCACUGACUGCAUGUGUGGCAGACAGGGCUGUGGGUCGUAGUUUGUCCCUCAUGGUGUUCCAUAGGUAAAUAUUCAUGGCCAGCACCUGUCUGCUGAGCUGUGAUUGGCUCACAAGGCUGAUAAAUAGCAGCUGUGGGAGUUCCAUCUAGAUGCUGGUUUCCUGGUUUGGCCUUGGUGGGUGAGCUUGACAUGUGGACCUUUUUUACUGAAGCUUUUAAUCAUUUGAGUCCUUUUACUAAAGUUUUUAAGCAUUUGAGUUUGCAACAUUUUAAAUUCUAUUUAUAUUAACAGGUGGUGGCAUGAGUUCUGAGCCUGGGGCAUGAGAGUAUCUUGGUGGUUGGACCUGGCUGAAGGUGGCUGCCUUCUCCUUUUAUCCUUAUGGUAGCUGGUGGGUGCCAUAUAUAGUAUUGUGUAAGGGGGACCCCCCCCCUGUUUUCGGCCCAUAAAUUAGUGGUGACCUGCUCAGGUGCACCUCUUCUGUUUUGUAUUUUCUUUUAAUCACUGUUUGGGUUGUAGUGUGUUUUUGUGUGCAUUUGGGCCCUGAGCAGGUACUCCUGGUGAGGGUUUGGAUCAGAUCUCCCUUGGUGGUGUUUGGGGCUACCCACCGGUACAGUGGGGCUGAGGCGAUCCUGGAGGCAGCCGCCCUCAUGCAGUGUUGGAGUGCGGUCCAACUGUCUGAGUUUAUUUUAACCUUUUUUAUGGAAAUUGUGUCAAGUUUUUAAUAAAUUGUAUAUUUUUAACCAC